CCCGGGUCUUGUACACACCGCCCGUCACACCAUGGGAGCGGGAUGUACCAGAAGUAGGUAGGCUAACCGCAAGGGGCGCUACCACGUGCGUUUCGUGACUGGGGUG
rnacentral:rRNA from 1 species